GAUGAACGCUGGCGGCGUGCCUAAUACAUGCAAGUCGAGCGAACGGACGAGAAGCUUGCUUCUCUGAUGUUAGCGGCGGACGGGUGAGUAACACGUGGAUAACCUACCUAUAAGACUGGGAUAACUUCGGGAAACCGGAGCUAAUACCGGAUAAUAUUUUGAACCGCAUGGUUCAAAAGUGAAAGACGGUCUUGCUGUCACUUAUAGAUGGAUCCGCGCUGCAUUAGCUAGUUGGUAAGGUAACGGCUUACCAAGGCAACGAUGCAUAGCCGACCUGAGAGGUGGACCGCCCACACGGGACCUGAGAAACGGCCAAGCCUCCACCGGGAGGAAGCAGUAGGGAAUCUCCCGCAAGGGGCGAAAGCCGGACGGAGCAACGCCGCGGGAGUGAGGAAGUUCUUCGGAUCGUAAAACUCUGUUAUUAGGGAAGAAAAUAUGUGUAAGAACUUGGGCACAUCUUGACGGUACCUAAUCAGAAAGCCACGCCUAACUACGGG
rnacentral:rRNA from 1 species